GCUACGUCACGGGCUUUGUGCCCUCAGCGCAGUCGUCAGUUUACUGAAUUCCUACAACCGGCCUCCCUUCCAAUGGCGCGCGGAAAAAAUCUUGCACACCUUCCCUUGAGGAAGGGAAAUGUCUGCUCCCACAAUUGAACCCUAGGAAAAAGAUGGAAAUAAUACCAGGAUUCAAAAUGCAAGGGGUGACUGAAAAAGGAGGCGCUCCUUUUCAUACAAGAGUUCCUGAAUUAACACAAGAAAGAAUGGAAGCAACACAAGAGCCAGGAACAGCAACUCCAGGAAUAAGGCCAUGGCUGGGGGAGGAAAAAAAGAAAAAAAAAAAACACAAAGGGAACAAAGACCUGCAUUAGAAUGUUUAGUGCAUGAACUUCUGAGGAAUAUAGGAAAACAAAACAAAACAAAAUAAAACAAUGUAAUGAUCUCAGUUAUUCCACGUUCAUUAAUAAUAUAACAAGAGAAGAUUUGUUACAAGAUGCCAAUAGAAUGAUAAUGGAUUCACCCAGAAGCAGCCCUUCAUAGGAUGUAAAGAACAAAAGGAGGUACUCGGUUGAAGCCUUUGAAGUACACCUAUAAAUGUGAAGUGCAUCUACAUACUACCCUAUUUUACCCUAGUUCCACAGUCUUGUCUAUGUAGCUCUUCCCUUCAGAUUCUAGGAAUGGCUUCUUCACAUUGCCUACUGAGGAGAAGUAUUAGCUCCCAACUGUUAGCAAUACUGGGAUACCACUGGAAUAGUCCUUGCUGGUUUCCUUAAAUUCUUCUUAAUCCUUCAUAAAUAUACCCUCAUUAAGAUCUCUUCAAAUUA